rnacentral:lncRNA from 1 species
UGGCAAAUUGGUCUUUCUACAACACCUGUCUGUCUGGAUAGAACACAGAAACAUAUUUGCUGCACCGGUCAAGCCUCACAGGAUUAAACACCAGUGUUCCUGAACACAGGGCUCGCCAGCUGCAGGAGAACUGAAUGCGCUGAUCGGGGGGUCUGAGAUGCUCAUGCUGAAGGCCUUGGAUGCUGGAGACUUGCUGAGACUCCUUUAGACUGCCCCAAAAGGACCACACCCUCCAACCUGGAGAUCGGUUCUGCUGAGCCCACUUGACCCACUUGAUGGUCCCAAGACUCCCACGUCGCAGGGGUCUGGAGCCGGUAGAGAGAGAAAAGAAAAAAUGAAGAGGAUCUGAAUGGCUCGUGGAUGUGGAAGAGGGUGGAGGAACAGCAAAUAAAAUC